UCAUGUCUAAAAAAAUAAGCUGGACAGUAUAAAUAACAAUUUAAAAUCUAAAGAUCUUGGCGGUGCUUCAUCUAACCAGGGGAACCUGUUCCUUAAUUCGAUAAUCCACGAAACUCAGACCACUAAUAGAAUAAUCAGCCUGUGUACUGCCGUCAUAAGCAUAUCUCUAAGAGACACUAUGCAAAAAUAAUAAAAUUUAUUUAUGUCAGGUCAAAGUACAGCCAAUGUAGUGGAGGAAAUGGGUUACACCCAUAAAAUAGAUACCAAAAUAAAAACUAACGUUUUAUAUAAAGGUGGACUUGGGAGUAAUGACUAGAUAGAAUAUAAUCAUGAAAAAGAAUCUGAAGCAUGCACACAUCGCCCGUCACUCCCUUCUAAAGAAG
rnacentral:rRNA from 1 species